GGGUAAGAUUUGAAUUAUUCAGUCUGUUCAUGAAAUUUUAAUUGUCAUUAUUUCAGCUGAAAAGAAUAUAAACAAAGAAAAGUUAGCCUUAUGUCAAUUAUCUCCAUUUAUCUUUGACUCAGUUGUCAAGAUUCUACAACUUUCAAAAGCAGAUACAGAGGCUGGAAUAACUGUUAAAUGCAGCAUGUAUAAAACACAUCCCAUUAUUCUGGAUAUGAACAUUAAAUUAGACAAUGAAAACAUUAUUUUUUUCUUUAUAUUUUAAAAUAUAGUGAGUAUUCAUGCUCCUGUUCAUCUGUUCUUGGAUGAACAUCAUUUGUUAGUUCUGGAACAUUCAUUGUGUGUGCUAAAGAAACUCUCGUCAUAAACUUCAGCACAAAUAAUAGGGAAAUUAUAGGUUGAUAAGAAUGCUGAAUCUUUUUGCAUGUUACAGUCCUGGUAAGAGACAAAAAUGGUCUGUCUGGUCUGAAUCAUUCAAUCAAAAAUACCUGCUCAGUUAGAGGAACAAUUAAAAUUUCUUCCUUGACAGUACAACAGGUUGUUGUUCUCAGAAAGAACAUUUACAUUGUGAAGGCACUUUGCAUUAAACUGCAUGCUUCAGUGCUCUGGAGGUCUUUAAAGAUCUGUAACUUUACGAUUUUAUGACUGACAGCUCUCCUUCAAGAUAACAGAUCCUGAAGCAAACAUGACUUUGAUAACAGUCAUUAUUUGGACACUCACCACCUGCACCUGGAGUUCUGUGGGGCAGAUUGUGACUCAAUCUGAAGAUCAAACAGUGAAGCCUGAUCAGACUGUCACUAUUCAGUGUAAUCAUAAACCAGCAGUAAACUAUAUUAAACCAGGUACCUCUCAGGAUUGCAUGGCCUGGUACCAUCAGAUUCCCAGAGAAGCUCCUAAACUCCUGAUCUAUUACACAUCAGACAGAGCUUCAGGUGUUUCUUCUAGAUUCAGUGGCAGUGGAAGGGACACAGAUUUUACUCUGACCAUCAGUGGAGUCCAGCCUGAAGAUUCAGGAGUUUAUUACUGUUAG